GACGAACGCUGGCGGCGUGCUUAACACAUGCAAGUCGAACGGAAAGGCCCUGCUUUUGUGGGGUGCUCGAGUGGCGAACGGGUGAGUAACACGUGAGUAACCUGCCCUUGACUUUGGGAUAACUUCAGGAAACUGGGGCUAAUACCGGAUAGGAGCUCCUGCUGCAUGGUGGGGGUUGGAAAGUUUCGGCGGUUGGGGAUGGACUCGCGGCUUAUCAGCUUGUUGUUGGGGUAGUGGCUUACCAAGGCUUUGACGGGUAGCCGGCCUGAGAGGGUGACCGGCCACAUUGGGACUGAGAUACGGACCAGACUCCUACGGGAGGCAGCAGGGGGGAAUAUUGCACAAUGGGCGGAAGCCUGAUGCAGCAACGCCGCGUGCGGGAUGACGGCCUUCGGGUUGUAAGCCGCUUUCGCCUGUGACGAAGCGUGAGUGACGGUAAUGGGUAAAGAAGCACCGGCUAACUACGUG
rnacentral:rRNA from 1 species